AUGGUGUAUAGGUAGCACGAAGAAUUUUGAAUUCUUAAGUGUAGGUUCAAUUCCUAAAAUCCUAG
rnacentral:tRNA from 1 species